AGCAGCCGCGGUAAUUCCAGCUCCAAUAGCGUAUAUUAAAGUUGUUGCAGUUAAAAGCUCGUAGUUGAAUUUCGGGAUCAGUUGGUCGGUCGUGCCUCGGUACGUACUGGUCAAAUUGAUUCCUACCUUCUGACGAACCACGAUGUCAUUAAUUUGGUGUCGUGGGAAAUCAGGACUGUUACUUUGAAAAAAUUAGAGUGUUUAAAGCAGGCUCGCGCUUGAAUACAUUAGCAUGGAAUAAUGGAAUAGGACGUUUGAUUCUAUUUUGUUGGUUUCUAGGAUCGACGUAAUGAUUAAUAGGGAUAGUUGGGGGCAUUAGUAUUCAAUUGUCAGAGGUGAAAUUCUUGGAUUUAUUGAAGACUAACUACUGCGAAAGCAUUUGCCAAGGAUGUUUUCAUUAAUCAAGAACGAAAGUUAGGGGAUCGAAGACGAUCAGAUACCGUCGUAGUCUUAACCAUAAACUAUGCCGACUAGGGAUCGGAUGAUGUUAAUUUUUUAAUGACUCAUUCGGCGCCUUACG
rnacentral:misc_RNA from 1 species